UUUAUCAGUACUUUAUUAUAUCUAACCGUAACUCUGAAGAUGGGAUCCACAAAUCAAUGGCUGCCGAAUUCUCAGCCGCAUCGGUGCGAACUUUCUCGACCAUGGCCGCCGACCAGAUAUUCUCAGCUGCACCGCCACAGACUCGGUUGCGCCAUCCCCGCAGCACCACCGCCCACAUCCGACGCCGGCUGCACCUUCCAGCUGGAGAAAUACAUGCGCGUUGAUCAGUAGAGGCAAUCGGAUUUUCUUAGAUCUCUGUUUCUCUAGUAACUUCUUUCUUUAUGCUCCGAUCCCUCACUCUAUGUUAUUUCUGCUGGUGAUUUGUUUUGUUUAAUUAAUGUUUUCUGAUUCUGAUAUAAUUUUAAAUUUUCUUAGAUGAUCUUAUUUAUUUAUUUUUACUCUGUGUAACUUGAAUGUGAUGUAAGUUUGCUGCAUUGAAAAGUCUGGUUGUGUUGUAUACUCACAGUUUUUAUGUUUAUACUUUCUUUGCAGAAGAUUGGAUUUAUAUAUCAACGAUCAAGAGCAUUUUCGUUUAGUUUAGUGGUCUGGAAUUGUGAUUUUUGUUGUUAUAAUGUCCCCUUAGUUGGAUAAAAUAAGCAGCUAUUUGAUCAAAUGGAAGCCAGAAAUUGUUAUAAGAUGUGUUUGCUGUUUCUAUUACUUGAUAAAUUUCAACAUGCUUGUGCACUAUGCAUCCGAUCGACUUUUCGUUAUAUAUUGGAUGUAUGCUUCCUUAUAUAUGUAGGGUUGCAAGAAGUUAUCUGUUUCCCAAUUCUUUCAAUGACUAUAAAGAGUAAAGUUUGUUAGUAACUCAUCACCAUUGGAUAGUCAAAUGAAAUGCAAGAAACAUAUAAAUAAGAGAUUGCAGGGAAUGGUGGUUAGAUUAUAUAAAACUAUAAUAUUACCUUAUUCACUUUCAAGAAACUAAACAUGAUCGAUCAUAAUCAUUUCCCCAAGCUAUUAUUACUCGACUUCUACCAGAAAUAGCGGUGAAGUUUUUUAUAUAUCAUAUGUGAAUAUGCUCACAUGUGUGCACAGACUAUAGAUAACAUCUACUCCAAAACGGAUUACAUGAGAAAAUGGUCGCAUUGCACCUAACAUUGAAUGCUCCUAUUUCUCUCUUCAUCUCCAGAUUCUCUUUACUAGUACUAAUAAUACAGAUGAAUGAAUGUUAGAUUUAGCAUAUGACUACCGAGCAUGAGGGUAUUGGGAUUGGGACCUGAGUUUGCAUGAUACCAAUCAAUUAUUCAAUCUCAACCAGGGGCUGAUUGAUGACUUGGAAUGGUAUGAGACAACAAUAGAAAAUGAAUGAAUCAAUGGUUUGUUGGAGCAAUUCUUCUCAGAAUAGAGACUCAAAUUAUUGACAAUUGUUGAAAGCUCAAUCCGUUUUGUUAUACCUGCCAAGUAUACAUCCAACUAUCUUAAUCUCUUAAUAAAAGUGGCACGUCCAAAGGCCUCCUUGGAGUAUCUUUUCCUUGCAUGUUAUUCUUUGGGAGUUUGCGUAUGUCUAUCACUUUGAUCCUUCUUUGUUUCUUAGCUAUUAAUGCAAUGCAAGUAAGUCUAGUUCAAUCCACAAACAUACAGAAUAUUUACCAUAUUUAUUCAAUGAUGUUUGUUAUAUUGUUUUCAUCUUCUUGAUGAGUCUCUCGAAGUUUUCUCUUUGUAGUCUCAAGUUUCAUCUCAAUGUCCCAUUAGAGAUUAUAUGGAAUAGAAUAGAAAAUUAGUAGUGUAUUGUAAAUAUCUAUAACUAGGUGAGAAUGUCAGAGUUAUUUCAACAUAUGUAACUAUGCAAUUCUUACAUCAUGAUGAAAAGAUUUUGAUAUUUUUUUUAUGUUGCGAUUCUCCAAUAUAUGGGGACAAGAAAACUUUGAAAUCUUUUUGAUGGUGCAAUUAUAUGAAUUUUGAGGUUUUGUUCUCUGACAAUUCUCUUAGAGAAAACCUAAAAAAUCAGAAAAUUGCACCAUUCAAAAGAUAUCAAAGCCUAUUCGUCUCCAAAUAUUGGAGAAUUGUAAUAUUGAAUAAAUAUCAAAACAAUUUCAUCCGGAAAUAAGAUGAAAAUGAGACAUGAGAUGAAAUUUGAGAAUUCAAAGAGAAAAUUUCGGGGGAAUUAUCAAGAAAAUGAGUGGAAUUAACAACCAUCAUUGAAUAAAUAUACUCAAUAUUGCAGAUGUUUAUGGAUUGAAUUAGACUUGUAUUGCAUGUACAACUAAAAAACAAAGAAAGAUUAAAAUCAUUGACCUACGUGAUCUCCCAAAUAAUAGCAUCCCACAAAUAUAUACUUCAAGGAGGUAUGCUUGGAUCCAUAAAGUUAAUUGUUAAUAUUUACAUUGAUGAAGCUUCAUGAACCUUUUCAUUGCACCUACUUCUUAUGACACUAGAUUGCGAGGGAUUAAAAAUCCCUCACAACUUCUUAUGGAUUUUACGAUGAAACAGGAGAUGAGCCAUUGUUUUGGAAAUUUGCAAGGGAUUUAAAUCCCUCGAAAAAUUGUUCAUUUUGCUAGGAAUAACACAAAGGGUAAUCUAUAUAUGUAAGCAUGCAAUUCUUACAUCGGGAUUAAAAGAUUUUGAUAUUUUUUCUAUGUUGCAAUUCUCUAAUAUUUGAAGAGAAAACUUUGAUAUUUUUUUUAUGGUGCAAUUAUUUGAUAUUUUGAGGUUUCGUUCUCGAAAAUUCUUUUAGAAAAAAUCGUGGAAUUGCACCAUCUAAAAGAUAUCAAAGUCUCCUCAUUCCCAAAUAUUGAAGAACUACAAUAUUCUAUAAAUAUCAAAACAUUUUCAUCCUGACAUAAGAAUUGCAUACUUACAUAUGGAUUGGAAUAACUUAUAAUGCUCACUUUGUUAUAGAUAUUUACCGGUAUGUUAGUAAUCGUUCAUAUUCCAUUCGAUCAUAUAUCUUAAUGGGACAUUAGAUGAAAUUUGAGAGUUCAAAGAGAAUUAUGAAGAAAAUGAGAAUGGUAUAACACAAUGGGUAAUAUAUCCCUUGUGAAUAUAAUGACGGAUUGUGCGAGGGAUUGUGAAUCCAUUGCCAACUUUACAUGCGGGAAUAUUAUAUGGUUCAUCUGCUUGUUUGUUUUGUGCAAUUUAAGAUAAAAAUUAUAUUUAGUUUUGUAUGCAUUAAUACAUUUUACUAUUAUAUAAUUGCAUAUCUUCCUUGAAUUUGUUGUAACCAAAUGAUAUGUUAAUU